UCUUCAACAAUCCAUACACAUGGUUCAGCCGCCCAACAUGCCCAAAGAGAUCCGAAGAGUAGCACUGAAGCGUCAAGCAGUCAAUCCAACAUUCUGGCUUCUUCGUUGUUAGCAACAUCAUCAUCUUUCGCAGUAAGACCCAUUUCCGGAGUUGAGACACCCCAGUGCCAUACACCUGUUUCCAACACAGCCUCUAUCCCUAUUGACCUGACAAGUGACAUUGAAGCUUCAAGCCCCUGGUCCCCCCGGCUACCUUUGGUGAAAGAUUUCCGUCCUUGGCCUGACCUAUGUAUUAUGUAUUGGUAUAUCUUGUUUCUUCAUUACAACAACCAUCCUUCCAGCAGUUCUCGACCAUAUGCAUCAUCUUCAUAUCUCUCUUGUCCUAG